GACGAACGCUGGCGGCGUGCUUAACACAUGCAAGUCGAACGGAAAGGCCCUGCUUUUGUGGGGUGCUCGAGUGGCGAACGGGUGAGUAACACGUGAGUAACCUGCCCUUGACUUUGGGAUAACUUCAGGAAACUGGGGCUAAUACCGGAUAUGAGCUCCUGCUGCAUGGUGGGGGUUGGAAAGUUUCGGCGGUUGGGGAUGGACUCGCGGCUUAUCAGCUUGUUGGUAGGGUAGUGGCUUACCAAGGCUUCGACGGGUAGCCGGCCUGAGAGGGUGAUCGGCGACAUGAGAAGGGGGACGCGGUCCAGACGCCUACGGGAGGCAGCAGUAGGGAACCGGCGGCAGUAGGCGAAAGCCUGACGGAGCAGCGGGGCGUGAGAGGUGGAAGUCUUCGGAGCGUAAUACUCUGUUAUGAGUUAAGAACAGAUUUGGAAUGAGACGUGGAGAGCGUGACGGUACCGAAUAAGAAAGCCACGGCUAACUACGUG
rnacentral:rRNA from 1 species